CCUGCCCAUAAGACUGGGAUAACUCCGGGAAACCGGGGCUAAUACCGGAUAACAUUUUGAACCGCAUGGUUCGAAAUUGAAAGGCGGCUUCGGCUGUCACUUAUGGAUGGACCCGCGUCGCAUUAGCUAGUUGGUGAGGUAACGGCUCACCAAGGCAACGAUGCGUAGCCGACCUGAGAGGGUGAUCGGCCACACUGGGACUGAGACACGGCCCAGACUCCUACGGGAGGCAGCAGUAGGGAAUCUUCCGCAAUGGACGAAAGUCUGACGGAGCAACGCCGCGUGAGUGAUGAAGGCUUUCGGGUCGUAAAACUCUGUUGUUAGGGAAGAACAAGUGCUAGUUGAAUAAGCUGGCACCUUGACGGUACCUAACCAGAAAGCCACGGCUAACUACGUGCCAGCAGCCGCGGUAAUACGUAGGUGGCAAGCGUUAUCCGGAAUUAUUGGGCGUAAAGCGCGCGCAGGUGGUUUCUUAAGUCUGAUGU
rnacentral:rRNA from 1 species